rnacentral:antisense_RNA from 1 species
CAGGUAGAAGAGGCCCGUGGGCUUCUUGCUGAUGAGAUGGAUGCAGCCGACAUUGUCUGUGUAGCCGAUGUUGUGCCAUGUGAUCCCCUCGCCCUGAUACUCCUCCUGUAGGGAUGGCACGGGGUCAAGAUCGACAGAUGCUAUGCUGUCCAGGCUAGUCUGGAACUCCUGGCCUCAAGUGAUCCUCCUGCCUCGGUCUCCCAAGUAGUUGAGAUUACAGGAGGAAACGUAGACAUGGCGUGGCAUUCAGAGAUUCCUGGGAAAACGUUCUCCUACCUCUCAUCCUUCUCCUGAGACACCAGGCGAGACUUUUCAAGCAGAUAUUUCUCGACGACAGCUCUGUCAUUAAGAGAAAAAGAGAAAGAAGAAAACAUUACAUUUUAGUAUUGUGUUAA